rnacentral:rRNA from 2 species
AGUAGCGACAGGGAGCUUGCUCCUUUGACGUUAGCGGCGGACGGGUGAGUAACACGUGGAUAACCUACCUAUAAGACUGGGAUAACUUCGGGAAACCGGAGCUAAUACCGGAUAAGAUUUUGAACCGCAUGGUUCAAUAGUGAAAGACGGCCUUGCUGUCACUUAUAGAUGGAUCCGCGCCGUAUUAGCUAGUUGGUAAGGUAACGGCUUACCAAGGCAACGAUACGUAGCCGACCUGAGAGGGUGAUCGGCCACACUGGAACUGAGACACGGUCCAGACUCCUACGGGAGGCAGCAGUAGGGAAUCUUCCGCAAUGGGCGAAAGCCUGACGGAGCAACGCCGCGUGAGUGAUGAAGGUCUUCGGAUCGUAAAACUCUGUUAUCAGGGAAGAACAAACGUGUAAGUAACUGUGCACGUCUUGACGGUACCUGAUCAGAAAGCCACGGCUAACUACGUGCCAGCAGCCGCGGUAAUACGUAGGUGGCAAGCGUUAUCCGGAAUUAUUGGGCGUAAAGCGCGCGUAGGCGGUUUUUUAAGUCUGAUGUGAAAGCCCACGGCUCAACCGUGGAGGGUCAUUGGAAACUGGAAAACUUGAGUGCAGAAGAGGAAAGUGGAAUUCCAUGUGUAGCGGUGAAAUGCGCAGGAUAUGGAGGAACACCAGUGGCGAAGGCGACUUUCUGGUCUGUAACUGACGCUGAUGUGCGAAAGCGUGGGGAUCAAA